GGUCUUCUAGCUCAUCGGUAGAGCGCCAGGUUGAAGCCCUGAGGCGAGGCGAGGUUCGACUCCUCGGGAGACCA
rnacentral:tRNA from 1 species